UACGUAGGGACCAAGCGUUGUUCGGAUUUACUGGGCGUAAAGGGCGCGUAGGCGGCAUGACAAGUCACUUGUGAAAUCUCCGGGCUUAACUCGGAACGGCCAAGUGAUACUGUCAAGCUAGAGUGCAGAAAGGGCAAUCGGAAUUCUUGGUGUAGCGGUGAAAUGCGUAGAUAUCAAGAGGAACACCUGAGGCGAAGGCGGGUUGCUAGGCUGACACUGACGCUGACAGCGCGAAAGCCAGGGGAGCAAACAGG
rnacentral:rRNA from 1 species